AGGCACCUGGUCGGGGUGCCAGGCGGUCCGUCACACUAGUAAUCUCUUGCAUGGAUUAUUGUAACUCUGUUCUGAUAGGUCUUCCCACAAGUCGUAUUGCCCCGCUACAGUCUGUAAUGAAUGCUGUCAGUCCUUACAUUGGCUUCCAGUGUACUAUAGGAGUCAAUUCAAGGUACUAAUCCACACCUAUAAAGCACUGACAAAUUCCAGAC